rnacentral:tRNA from 1 species
AAACUUUUUAAAGUAGCUUCUAACUACUAACCAGUGCUUAACUGCACUAAAGUUUU